rnacentral:rRNA from 1 species
ACGGAGGGGGCUAGCGUUGCUCGGAAUUACUGGGCGUAAAGGGCGCGUAGGCGGUUUUGUAAGACAGAGGUGAAAUCCCCGGGCUCAACCUGGGAACUGCCUUUGUGACUGCAAGGCUGGAGUGCGGCAGAGGGGGAUGGAAUUCCGCGUGUAGCAGUGAAAUGCGUAGAUAUGCGGAGGAACACCGAUGGCGAAGGCAAUCCCCUGGGCCUGCACUGACGCUCAUGCACGAAAGCGUGGGGAGCAAACAGGA